AAACUACUCGGCUCAUCUGGGUUACUUGUUUGGUCUCUUUGCUGACUGCCUUCCCGGGGACUUCUUGCCCCGGAUCCGUCCAUCGGCCUGCAUCCCUGUGGCAAGAGAAUGGAAGCGCGCAUCUGCUGAGUUCUUGUGUCCCUUGCUUGGCCCUAGGGAACUUAUCUGGUUCUGAGGAUUUGUUUGAAUUGGGAAAGGUGUCUUGAACAGUUUGAACUUUGUCAUCGCAUCUGUAAAAUAGAGCCCUCCUGUGUAGUUUCUCAUCCACAUACCAGUGUGGGGUAGUCUCAGCUUGUUUCAAAUUUUAUAUUUCUCUUGAUCAGUCUUUCUAACUGGGAUGUGGUUUACGUUCAACAAAAUGAAUACGUUCUUGGUCUCUUUAAAAUAAAAGCAUUGCUCUUGAACGUCUGGCUUCCGCGAUGGCAUGAAUUUGCGAAAUGGUAAUAUAUUUUGACAAGGCAUUUAAACAGCAUACUUAUAUUCUGACAUAAUUAUUUCUCUUUGAACAAUAUCCCUAGACACGAUUCUUGCAAGACACAAUGGCCAUUGGGCACUUAGAAUGAAAGUGGUGAUGAUGACUUUUGUGAUCACUGUGAAGGAAGUGAGGAAUGGACCAACCAAGAGAUAUGUAAAAAAACAGAGUUCAUAGGAAUUGCUGACACCCUGGCUAUGGGAAAUCGAAGGAGAGAAUUCCCUGGUUAUUAACUAUCGUUGUGCUGUGUGUCUGACCUGGGGCCUUUUGAAUACUAAAGAAGAGCUUUCCCUGAGCCACACCUCCAACCUGAGAAAAAUUCCUAUCCUGAGACUGCCGAAACAUCACUCUUUCCUUGCUGGCUAAGUGCUUGCAAGCCUAAGCUUCCAUCGUUCCCUGCUUAGUUUUGCUCUAUCAACUGUGCUAAAUUUCUUAUGCAAGAAAGGGAGUGCUGUGUGAAUGGGGACAUGCAGGCCUACAACCUAAAUCCUAUAAUAUGUCAGCGUGAAAGGAAUAUUAUGUUUACCCCGAAUUUUUGUCUUUGCUUAAAAAACCCACUGUUGCCGGGAGAUGGUGGCUCACGCCUUUAAUCCCAGCACUCGGGAGGCAGAGGCAGGUGGAUCUCUGUGAGUUCGAUAUCAGCCUGGUCUACAAGAGCUAGAUCCAGGACAGCCUCCAAAGCCACAGAGAAACUCUACCUCGGGAAAAACAAACAAACAAAUAAAAACCCACUCUUUGCAUCAAACCUUGAGGAGAGAGGAACCAACAGGCAGCACCAAGGACAGAAACAGACGCUGUGGCACAGGCCUUGGCGUUCAGUCAGCACCAGGGACAGCGACCGCAAAGCAAGUUCCCUAUGACCCCUCUUGGAGGUUCCCUUAAACUGUACUGCCAUGUGAGUGAUGUAAGCAACCGUCUGAGGCCCCUACUAGUGGAAUUAAAUGUCAGGCCCAGAGAUGUGGGGUGUACCUGAGGAUCAAUCAGAACACGAGCCAGGAAGAGGAUGUUGAAUCUCCAGAUGUGUGCACGGUUAAAACUUGUUCUUAUCUUCUCCUCUCCCCCUCUCACAUCCGUAGACAGCAAGGGCAGGGCUGGUACACCCUGAGGAUUAUCAGGGCUUCUUGAUGGGGGCUACAAGUCUGCAUUAGGAUGAGGGAGAGGGAGAAAUGCACAAUUUCUGAGAUGUAGCUGGUUCAUGGAAAACACUCUCAUUACAAAUUGAAGAGUGUUCUCCAAAAUGAGCUACAUUUGCUGUGUUGGUUGUAUUUCCUCCCAUCAGACCUUGUAAUAAUAAAUUUUUGUGUCUACUUGACUUGGCCAUAGAGUGCCAAGAUACUCCAGUAAUACUAGUCAACUAUUACUCUGGGCAUUUCUAGGCAGUUUUUGGAUGAGAGUAACAUUAAAAUUAGUUAAGUAAAACA